UACGUAGGGUGCAAGCGUUAAUCGGAAUUACUGGGCGUAAAGCGUGCGCAGGCGGUUUUGUAAGUUUGUCGUGAAAGCCCCGGGCUCAACCUGGGAAUUGCGAUGAAGACUGCAAGGCUUGAAUCUGGCAGAGGGGGGUAGAAUUCCACGUGUAGCAGUGAAAUGCGUAGAGAUGUGGAGGAACACCGAUGGCGAAGGCAGCCCCCUGGGUCAAGAUUGACGCUCAUGCACGAGAGCGUGGGGAGCAAACAGG
rnacentral:rRNA from 1 species